AGCGAAACGGGAAGAGCCCAAACCAACAAGCUUGCUUGUUGGGGUUGUAGGACACUCUAUACGGAGUUACAAAGGACGACAUUAGACGAAUCAUCUGGAAAGAUGAAUCAAAGAAGGUAAUAAUCCUGUAGUCGAAAAUGUUGUCUCUCUUGAGUGGAUCCUGAGUACGACGGAGCACGUGAAAUUCCGUCGGAAUCUGGGAGGACCAUCUCCUAAGGCUAAAUACUCUCUAGUGACCGAUAGUGAACCAGUACCGUGAGGGAAAGGUGAAAAGCACCCCGGAAGGGGAGUGAAAUAGAACCUGAAACCGUGUGCUUACAAGUAGUCAGAGCCCGUUAAUGGGUGAUGGCGUGCCUUUUGUAGAAUGAACCGGCGAGUUACGAUUUGAUGCAAGGUUAAGCAGUAAAUGUGGAGCCGUAGCGAAAGCGAGUCUGAAUAGGGCGUUUAGUAUUUGGUCGUAGACCCGAAACCAGGUGAUCUACCCUUGGUCAGGUUGAAGUUCAGGUAACACUGAAUGGAGGACCGAACCGACUUACGUUGAAAAGUGAGCGGAUGAACUGAGGGUAGCGGAGAAAUUCCAAUCGAACCUGGAGAUAGCUGGUUCUCUCCGAAAUAGCUUUAGGGCUAGCCUCAAGUGAUGAUUAUUGGAGGUAGAGCACUGUUUGGACGAGGGGCCCCUCUCGGGUUACCGAAUUCAGACAAACUCCGAAUGCCAAUUAAUUUAACUUGGGAGUCAGAACAUGGGUGAUAAGGUCCGUGUUCGAAAGGGAAACAGCCCAGACCACCAGCUAAGGUCCCAAAAUAUAUGUUAAGUGGAAAAGGAUGUGGCGUUGCCCAGACAACUAGGAUGUUGGCUUAGAAGCAGCCAUCAUUUAAAGAGUGCGUAAUAGCUCACUAGUCGAGUGACACUGCGCCGAAAAUGUACCGGGGCUAAACAUAUUACCGAAGCUGUGGAUUGUCCUUUGGACAAUGGUAGGAGAGCGUUCUAAGGGCGUUGAAGCAUGAUCGUAAGGACAUGUGGAGCGCUUAGAAGUGAGAAUGCCGGUGUGAGUAGCGAAAGACGGGUGAGAAUCCCGUCCACCGAUUGACUAAGGUUUCCAGAGGAAGGCUCGUCCGCUCUGGGUUAGUCGGGUCCUAAGCUGAGGCCGACAGGCGUAGGCGAUGGAUAACAGGUU
rnacentral:rRNA from 1 species